rnacentral:lncRNA from 1 species
UUUUUGUCCUAAUUUUCAAAUCAACAUAAGUUAUUGACCUAAAAAAUCCUCUGACUCUUAAAGAUCCUGUUGAAUUUUGUGGGCCGGCGAGUGUGGUGUUUCUAUGAGUAAAAGGAAUCAUGCCAUCACAUUCUUUGGCAUCAAUAAUUAAUAGCAGAGAUCUUCCUCGACUGCACUCUGCUUGAUUUGGGUUAAUUUGUUGAAAAAAGUUUGCAACGACUUAAUUAUACUGCUUAAUUGUUGGUGUUGAACUGAUAUUAUGCAAGUAAUUUUGUGCGAUUUCCCUCAGUUGGAGGUGUUUAUCUUGUUUUUGUAGAAGAAUCCAAUCUAGUAGUUUGAAACAUCUGAAAGU